rnacentral:piRNA from 1 species
UGCGCUGGCAUUCACGGGAUUGGCCU